ACAUUCACUAGUAUAGUGUUUAUGACCCUCGACUUGUACUCGAGUGGGCUCGGGUUCGAAUCCCGAAAAAGGCAUGGAUGUA